GCUGGUUCUGCCUGACAUGGCGCAAAUUCUUCUGGACGAAGCACUUGCGAGAAAAACCGCAGAAUUGAAGGAGAACAACGAGGCCAUAAAAACUCCUGUUCCGCUUCCUAUGGAAACACUGACCGAUAUAGCGACAAACUGCAUGAAUAUAUUUCUUGGAGGGUACGAUCCGACGAGACUGGCCCUAACCUAUUGGUUUUACGUCAUGGGGAGAUACCCAGAUAUUCAGGAGAAA